AAUAGAUGGUUAAGGAUUUGGAUAAGAAAAAAAGUGAGAAUUGAUCGCAAUGAGAAUGGGGUUAUUUUGACACCACCUUUGCUACCAUCAACCGCCGGAUUCCGGAAAUAUGACCAAUGAAUAGUGACGGAAUCACUAUUCACCCUUCUUCCUGAUUAGAGAGAGAAUUUUCGGAAUCACUGUUCACUUGCUACCAUCAACCGCCGGAUUCCGGAAAUAUGACCAAUGAAUAGUGACGGAAUCACUAUUCACCCUUCUUCCUGAUUAGAGAGAGAAUUUUCCCAAAACCCAACUUCAGCCUUUCUUGAAACAAAAAUAAACCAACACUUAGUCUUGGUGACUUGAGAUUAACAGAAGCAAAGUAAGAUAAUAGAGAUUCAUGUUUGUUCACUAAUAAAACAUCCAUGAAAACUUUAACAUAAAUAAACAAAAUUAAGAAAAUUUUAGACCAACAAUGCCACAACAGAACAAACACAUAGUGUCCAUAGUCAUCAAAGAUCAAUAUUAAAAGGAAAUUAAAAAUCAUAGAGAAGUUGACCUCAAAACAACACAAUUUUAUCUUUGAAAUGCGUAACACCAGAAAACUUGGACAGCAACAAUUCGACGGAACCACGAAUCUGCCCAGAAACCUCGAACGGACAACCUCGAUUUAAAAUGACGCUACUAUCGCAAUAACGGCGACACUGGAGCAACAGUCAAAAUGACACACACGAAGGAAUCGCUAGAGAACUAAUUUCGACCAAACUCGGCACAUAACGUCACAAAUCCAGAACUUGUUAGAUCUACACUAGUCCGAUGUAGAAGUAAAACACACGUGAAUAAUGGUGAUGAAACAAUCGACUGUUUUCUGUUCAUCCAUCGCCGACAGCGUGACUCCAAUGAAACAAAGACAAUAGAGAGGGAGGAAGGUAUGAAGCAACGGCUAGGUGCUACAACAGCAGUCAUGGCCGUCGUCGGUCAUCAUCUCUGGCAGCGGCAACCAUGUAAAGGGCAAGAGCUUGCUUCAGCGAGCUUUAUCUUUUGCUAGGGUUUUGGUCUUGUGUAUUAGGCCUCUAUGAAGAAGAUGAAUAGCGAUGGGGAGGGUGUUGUGUGAACUGAUGAAGAAGGCAAAGCCGUAGCAAUGGGUAGUGCGACGCUUUUUUCAGCUUUUUUUUUUUCAUGCAUAUUUUUAUUGUUCCUUUAUAGGUUGAGUCUAGG
rnacentral:lncRNA from 1 species